CGAAAAGCGUAUCUUGUUUUUGGCGGCAGAGGCCUCGUUUCCUUUCUGCCCCGGAAAGUGAGGAGAAGGAGAGGGGGAGAGGUCUCAGCAGGACUCAGGACUGGAUGGGUUCGGAGGUUAGGUUAGGUUAGGCCGGCGGCGCCGCACCGGAUCGGAGCGGCGGCCGGUGAGUGGGGAGGCGGGGAGCGGGCGCAGCGGCAGGGGCAGGAUUGGGGGUAGCGGCAGAGGCGGGCGUCGGAACCCGCCAAUGAUAAACUCCUAGCCGCGGCCUCAGACUCAACUCGCGAAAGGCGUUUCCAAAGCCUAACGGACAAACCCACAAGAAGUUCUAACUCGGGUCUUGUCGUACAGGUUCUACGGUUUAGGUCUCUUCUUCAACAAGUCCUACGGUUCGCGUCUACGGCUCUACCGACGUGACGUGUUCCUUACCCUACUACGAGCCACAGGUUAAACGUACCUGGUAGGAGUGUUACGACACGAAGACAACACGUCAAGAGUACUGUUUCCUACGUCUAGGAUGUAGACACUAUGUUCGAUAUCUGUGAGUUUAACGGAUCUGUCUAAGUCCUUUUACUUUCACUUGGCGUACCUGUCAAGUAGUGUCGGUUCGAGAAGGAACGGACCUCUAUGUUCAUUGGUUUUACAAAGUCUCUCUAGGGCAGAGCCAGGGUCAUCUCCCUCGGGGUCCGACAAUUAUCUACAUGGACUUAAGGCACUUUUAGAGUCAGUACUUGUACAGGCAUCGGGACGUCGGCAUAGACCUGUCGUUCUUCCUUGAUUGAUAUUAGUUCCAGGUCAUUGUAACCUUCGAGAAUACCCUGUUCACUGACCCGUUCAACUCAGUCGACUCCGUAGGUUGAGCUUACUUAACUACACGGGUGACACAUCCCCACGACACUUCCCGACCCUCUAGUAGUUUCUACGGUCUGUCAUGAACCUGCUCUUCGGUUCUUCGACGAGCGCCCUUCGUACGCGUAAAAGACCAUGGAUACCACGCGAGGCAUCUGUACGGUCCUCCCACGUGGGGUGAUGGUCCGGACGACUACACCUGGGCAGUUCCGCUGCGCGUACCGUGGCGGACCUCUUGGUCGCCCUCAUACCACUGUAUUACUCGCGUUAGUCCAGCCGAUACGGACCCAGUCAACACGAACCUCUAAUGCAGUAACUUCCACCCGGUUCACGUCUGCUCGCACUUCUGCCACCCGGUUCACUCGCUUCGCCCAGAGACAACUGCUGCAAGAAAGAUAAGGUAUACUACUUGUCACCAGGCGACUCUAGUCCUCUACUCGGUUCUAGGAGUAGUUCCCGGGACUCUUCCGUCUCCGCGGCGAUAGACACCCCUCUCUUGAACGAUCCGGAGGUUAUACUGCUGCUGCUACUACUCCUGCUCCUAUCGGAUCUGCUCCUCCAAGUCUCCGGGUCCUGAGCGUCCUCCAAACACUCCAGUUCCAGCCUCCUCGCCGCGACUGCGCACCCGCUGGUACCAUUGAUUUAGGAAGUAGGUGGUACUUCAAGAAAUGGGGCACUUAAUCGCUACUGGGGAACGCGCACUAGAAAACGGUAAGGUCGGUCCCGCGACCCACUGCACGACGAAGCUUACGGAUUUCACGUCGUGCCUAGGAACGUGACCUUCUAGGUUCAGUUGGCACAGCGCAAAUUUCCCAACCUACCAACUGGCGUGUUCCGUACCGGUAGGAGUCCCGUAUACGACCUUGUACACGAGCGAGCGACAACACUGGCUUCGACGAGAGUUACGUGGAGCGCAACAAACGAGUCGCGCAAUGGAUAUAGGCAUAGAUAACAUAUAUAUCACAACCUUCGAUCAUGGUAAAUGACUUAAGCACGUACAUGACAGAACGUGAACCAUAGAAACAAGUUAACUUCGACCAUCCCUAACGUAAACCGGG
rnacentral:rRNA from 1 species